AACGAACGCUGGCGGCAGGCCUAACACAUGCAAGUCGAGCGCGCCCUUCGGGGUGAGCGGCGGACGGGUGAGUAACGCGUGGGAACGUGCCCUUUUCUACGGAAUAGCCUCGGGAAACUGAGAGUAAUACCGUAUACGCCCUUUGGGGGAAAGAUUUAUCGGAAAAGGAUCGGCCCGCGUUGGAUUAGGUAGUUGGUGGGGUAAUGGCCUACCAAGCCGACGAUCCAUAGCUGGUUUGAGAGGAUGAUCAGCCACACUGGGACUGAGACACGGCCCAGACUCCUACGGGAGGCAGCAGUGGGGAAUCUUAGACAAUGGGGGCAACCCUGAUCUAGCCAUGCCGCGUGAGUAAUGAAGGCCUUAGGGUUGUAAAGCUCUUUCAGCUGGGAAGAUAAUGACGGUACCAGCAGAAGAAGCCCCGGCUAACUCCGUG
rnacentral:rRNA from 1 species